rnacentral:tRNA from 1 species
UCAUCCUUAGUUUAUUUGAAUUAUAGCUUGUCAGGUUGUCGGAAUAAUCAAUUUAGGUUGUAGGGUGAG